ACAAGACGGUGGAGCAUGUGGUUUAAUUCGAAGCAACGCGAAGAACCUACCACGGCCUUGACAUGCAGAGAACUUCCAGAGAUGGAUUGGUGCCUUCGGGAACUCUGACACAGGUGCUGCAUGGCUGUCGUCAGCUCGUGUCGUGAGAUGUUGGGUUAAGUCCCGUAACGAGCGCAACCCUUGUCCUUAGUUACCAGCACGUUAUGGUGGGCACUCUAAGGAGACUGCCGGUGACAAACCGGAGGAAGGUGGGGGAUGACGUCAAGUCAUCAUGGCCCUUACGGCCUGGGCUACACACGUGCUACAAUGGUCGGUACAAAGGGUUGCCAAGCCGCGAGGUGGAGCUAAUCCCAUAAAACCGAUCGUAGUCCGGAUCGCAGUCUGCAACUCGACUGCGUGAAGUCGGAAUCGCUAGUAAUCGUGAAUCAGAAUGUCACGGUGAAUACGUUCCCGGGCCUU
rnacentral:rRNA from 1 species